rnacentral:RNase_P_RNA from 1 species
AGCGCAGGAGAUUCUAUCGCGUCGAAGCUUGUCUUUGAUGAGGAAAGUCCGGGCAACAAAGGGCGCCAUGCUUCCUAACGGGAAGAUCUUUGAAAGGGGAUUGUAGCGUAACAGAAAAGAACCGUCCGGGUGAAAAUCCGGGUAAGGGUGAAAAGGCGGGGUAAGAGCCCACCGGUAUUUCGGGUGACCGAGAUAGCCGUACGCAUCAUGGGUUGCAAGACCAAAUAUAUUUCGAUUGACGUAAGUCUACAGAGCGGCCCGCUUUGGUUUUGUAUGAAAGUCGGAAGGGGUAGGUUGCAUGAGACUAUUGGUGACAAUAGUACCAGAUAAAUGAUAGAAACCCGUAUUUACGGUUACAGAACCCGGCUUAUCAUCCUGCUAAAA